AGUGAACGCUGGCGGUAGGCCUAACACAUGCAAGUCGAACGGCAGCACAGUAAGAGCUUGCUCUUACGGGUGGCGAGUGGCGGACGGGUGAGGAAUACAUCGGAAUCUACUUUUUCGUGGGGGAUAACGUAGGGAAACUUACGCUAAUACAGCAUACGACCUACGGGUGAAAGCAGGGGAUCUUCGGACCUUGCGCGAUUGAAUGAGCCGAUGUCGGAUUAGCUAGUUGGCGGGGUAAAGGCCCACCAAGGCGACGAUCCGUAGCUGGUCUGAGAGGAUGAUCAGCCACACUGGAACUGAGACACGGUCCAGACUCCUACGGGAGGCAGCAGUGGGGAAUAUUGGACAAUGGGCGCAAGCCUGAUCCAGCCAUACCGCGUGGGUGAAGAAGGCCUUCGGGUUGUAAAGCCCUUUUGUCGGGAAAGAAAAGCAGCAGGUUAAUACCCCGCUGUUCUGACGGUACCCAAAGAAUAAGCACCGGCUAACUUCGUG
rnacentral:rRNA from 1 species